GCCCGGUUAGCUCAAUCGGUAGAGCGUGAGACUCUUAAUCUCAAGGUUGCGGGUGAGUAAACCGACGACAAUCCUAGAGUAGGGAUAACGGUUUAUACUAACUUGCGAUCACAGGUUCGACCCCCGCAUUGGGCU